AAUAGCUAUGUUUUAGUGGGAUUAGUAAGGAUUUAUUUAAUAAAUAUUAACCCAAAGAGAAAUUUGAUAAAAAACGAAGCGAAUUGAAAUAUCUUAAUAGCUUUAGGAAAAGAAAUCAAAAGAGAUUCUAUUAUUAGUGUGAACGAAAGUAGAUAAGCCUAAAAAAAAGUAAAACAGAUUUAAAUCUUCUUGAACUUUAAGGGGAACCUUCCUCUAAGGCUAAAUAAUAAGCAUAAGCGAUAGUGUAAUAGUACCGUGAGGGAAAUUUGUAAA
rfam:Thielaviopsis punctulata NODE_37, whole genome shotgun sequence.